AGUAACACAUGAGGGCGACAGCAGAGGGAAAGGCUGACAUAUGCUCCCUCGCUCUGUGGCCUGGCCUUCCUGCUUCAUCACGCAAUAUGGCUGAACUCUGAAUAUUAUCCUCUCGUACGGCAAACCCGGCGUCAUCUCGGCCGUUGCCGCUGCCUUUACCGUCACGCUCUCCUCCUGUGUAUAUCAGGUUGCUCUGAGCUAUUUUCAGCAGAAUUUCAGCGGCUGAGCUGUGACAAAACAGCGAGUUAAAAGGCUAAACUGGGCUGUGGUCCUUCCCAGGAGAGGGACUGGAUUUAUCCCAGUUGUCUCAAAGUAUCGACCAGCAGUGGUUCAGCAGGGUUUCUCUGUUACAAGCUGUGGUUCUUGGUGACGCCUUCAUGGAAAAACGUACAUAAAUCCUUUGCUACAAAGUCAGGCCGGCUACACUAGUUAGCACCAACCCUGAGGUUUCACACACACGCAGCGCAGCAGACAGGCGGCUGCUCUCUUAACCAGUGUAACAGCGCCCUCCGGAGGCCAGCUAGAGGACCGUUUCAACAUCCUUCAAACAUCCGUUAGUUUUGUUUUGCCUUCAAAUCCUUUCCUGUUAAAAUGAUAAUAAAAAUAAAACAGUUUUCAUGUGAAACA